rnacentral:rRNA from 1 species
UACGUAGGGUGCGAGCGUUAAUCGGAAUUACUGGGCGUAAAGCGUGCGCAGGCGGUUUUGUAAGCCAGAUGUGAAAUCCCCGGGCUUAACCUGGGAAUGGCAUUUGGGACUGCAAGGCUUGAGUGCGGCAGAGGAGACUGGAAUUCCUGGUGUAGCAGUGAAAUGCGUAGAUAUCAGGAGGAACACCGAUGGCGAAGGCAGGUCUCUGGGCUGACACUGACGCUCAUGCCCGAAAGCGUGGGGAGCAAACAGG